rnacentral:rRNA from 1 species
UACGGAGGGUGCAAGCGUUGCUCGGAAUCACUGGGCGUAAAGCGUACGCAGGCGGCUCGAUAAGUCGGGUGUGAAAGCCCGGGGCUCAACCCCGGAAUUGCGCCCGAUACUGCCGAGCUUGAGUACGGGAGAGGGAUAGCGGAAGUCCUGGUGUAGAGGUGAAAUUCGUAGAUAUCAGGAGGAACACCAGUGGCGAAAGCGGCUUCCUGGCCCGAUACUGACGCUCAUGUACGAAAGCGUGGGGAGCAAACAGG